GCGUCGUGCAAAUCAUCAUCAGAAUCAGAAUCAGAAUCAGAAGAAGAAGAAGAAUCAGAAGAAAGAGGAAGAUCCAUUGAAAAUUCCUCAUUCUCCUUUCUCUUUUUCUGUGGUUUGUUUUCUUCUUCUUCGUUUCUCUUCCUC
rnacentral:RNase_P_RNA from 13 species